UUUUAACUUAGUUUUUAAGAAGUCUGCAAAAUUUGACUUAAGAUCAAUAGUUCAUUCACUAGUUAUUGGGGUUUAAAUCUUUUGUAGAAAUUACUAAGGUUUGGUUAGGAUUUGGUUUAAGGUUUAGGAUUUGGUUGGGAUUUGAUUUAGGGUUAGGAUUUGGUUAGGGUUUGAUUUAGGAUUAGGAUUUGAUUAGGAUUUGAUUUAGGAUUUAGGAUUUGGUUAGGAUUUGAUUAGGAUUAGGAUUUGAUAAGGAUUUGAUUUAGGGUUAGGAUUUGGUUAGGGUUUGAUUUAGAAUAUACAUUUUAAGAUUUAAUUAGGGUUUGAUUUAGGAUUUCAGGCUUGAUUAGGAUUUGAUUCAAAGUUAAGUUAGGAUUUGAUUUAGGAUUUAGGAUUUUAUUAGGAUUUAUUUAAGAUUUAAGAUUUAGUUAAUUUUUGGCCUAAAUUUUGAAUGAAGUCCAAUAAGAUUUUAACUAGGAUUAAAUUAAUAUUGAAUUGAGAUGUAUUUGUGAUCAUUUUAUUAUUUCUUUAAUAUUUUUUAAUAUUUUCUUUGUAAUUACUUUGAAUUUUCUUA
rnacentral:lncRNA from 1 species